AUACGUAGGGGGCGAGCGUUGUCCGGAGUUAUUGGGCGUAAAGGGCGUGUAGGCGGCCUGUUAAGUCAGGUGUGAAAUUUCAGGGCUUAACCCUGAAACUGCGUUUGAAACUGGCAGGCUUGAGGACAGGAGAGGGAAGUGGAAUUCCCGGUGUAGCGGUGGAAUGCGUAGAUAUCGGGAGGAACACCAGUGGCGAAGGCGGCUUCCUGGACUGUACCUGACGCUGAGGCGCGAAAGCUAGGGGAGCAAACAGGAUUAGAUACCCUGGUAGUCCUAGCCGUAAACGAUGAGUGCUAGGUGUGGGGGGUUAAAAUCCCCCCGUGCCGGAGUUAACGCAAUAAGCACUCCGCCUGGGGAGUACGGCCGCAAGGCUAAA
rnacentral:rRNA from 1 species